rnacentral:rRNA from 1 species
CCUACGGGUGGCUGCAGUGAGGAAUAUUGGUCAAUGGGCGGAAGCCUGAACCAGCCAAGUAGCGUGCAGGAUGACGGCCCUACGGGUUGUAAACUGCUUUUAUACGGGAAUAACGCGCCUUACGUGUAGGGCUUUGCAUGUACCGUAUGAAUAAGGACCGGUUAAUUCCGUGCCAGCAGCCGGGGUAAUACGGAGGGUCCGGGCGUUAUCCGGAUUUAUUGGGUUUAAGGGGAGCGUAGGCGGGAUGUCAAGCGUGCUGUGAAAUGUCCGGGCUCAACCCGGGCCUUGCAGCGCGUACUGGCGUGCUUGAGGCCGCGGAAGGCAGGCGGAAUUCGUGGUGUAGCGGUGAAAGGCUUAGAUAUGACGAAGAACCCCGAUUGCGAAGGCAGCUUGCUGCAGCGGAACUGACGCUGAUGCUCGAAAGCGCGGGUAUCGAACAGGAUUAGAUACCCUAGUAGUC